CCCUCUCAAUCUCACAUUCGCAUUAAAGGUGCCACCCUCUCAAUCACACACCCACAUCAAAGGUGCCACCCUCUCAAUCUCACAUUCGCAUUAAAGGUGCCACCCUCUCAAUCUCACAUCUGCAUCAAAGGUGCCACCCUCUCAAUCUCACAUCUGCAUCAAAGGUGUCACCCUCUCAAUCUCACAUCCGCAUCAAAGGUGUCACCCUCUCAAUCUCACAUCCGCAUCAAAGGUGCCACCCUCUCAAUCUCACAUCCGCAUCAAAGGUGCCACCCUCUCAAUCUCACAUUCGCAUUAAAGGUGCCACCCUCUCAAUCUCACAUCUGCAUCAAAGGUGCCACCCUCUCAAUCUCACAUCUGCAUCAAAGGUGUCACCCUCUCAAUCUCACAUCCGCAUCAAAGGUGUCACCCUCUCAAUCUCACAUCCGCAUCAAAGGUGCCACCCUCUCAAUCUCACAUCCGCAUCCGCAUCAAAGGUGCCACCCUCUCAAUCUCACAUCCGCAUCAAAGGUGCCACCCUCUCAAUCUCACAUCCGCAUCAAAGGUGCCACCCUCUCAAUCUCACAUCCGCAUCAAAGGUGCCACCCUCUCAAUCUCACAUCUGCAUCAAAGGUGGCUCAAUCUCACACUGGCCACCUACAGUUAGGUCCGGAAAUAUUUGGACACUGACACAAUUUUUGUAAUUUUGGCUCUGUACGCCAUCACAAUGAAUUUGAAAUGAAACAACCAAGAUGCAAUUGAAGUGCAGACUUUCAUGUUUAAUUCAAAAGGUUGAACAUAAAUAUGAACAGCCUGUGAUGCCAAUUGUUUACUUUGAUUUUCGGUGUGUUUGAAUCCAACCCUCAAUCGUUUGGUGAUUUGAUUCCAUUGACUGUUGUUUGAUCUUCAAUAUAUUUCAUUAAUUGAGACCUGA